AACGAAAACGUCCUCAUGGUUUCUAGUGCGACAUUUGCACAGUAUUAGUAAUCAGGAUGAAGCCGGACACCAUGUUCUUUCUGCUUUGUGCCACAGCAUUGGUGGUUUUUGGUGAACACAAAGCUGCACAGUCAAGUCCUGCUGUUCGUCUGACUGCUAAUCCUCCAUGGCCAGAUGUGUUCCCAGGAGAGACAAUUAAUCUCACCUGUCAGGUUACUGAAUCUGAGGGAUGGACCUUUGUGUGGAUGAGAUACAGACAGGGGGGUCUAACACAACUUUCAGCCUCUAUCAGUAAUAGCUCCGAGUUGGUCCUGAGUGAUGUGAGUGAGAGACAGAGCGGAAUGUAUCAGUGUGAAGCUGUAAAAGGAAAUGAGCGACCUUUCAGUAACAUCCAUACCAUAACAGUCUCUGGUGAGUAGUGUAAUUGAAAAUUACCCCCCUCAAAUAGUGCUUC